GCAACAGGCAAUGUUUGCAUUUGCGCAGCCAUUCUCUUUGGAGCUGGUUCUCCUGCGACCAUCUUGAGGAGCAACAAGUCCGUCAGCAUUCAAGCCAUCUCGGAGCGCACCUACAACAAGUGUCAGACUGGUCAUCGAGUGAGGUGCGGGACGCAGCAGAACACUGAGCUUCUGCAAGGUCUCCGAGGCAAGAGCAUUGCCCUUGCUGGGAUGGACGCUGCGAUUCGCCAGGAUUCAGCGCAAAGUACUGCACCUACAGCUUCCACGAGGCAGUCACCAGGAAGGUAAUCCAUGUUGAGCAAGUGCUAGUUGGCAAGGUAACAUUUACUAACUGAGGCAAACUAAAUUAUUGUAAAACUGAUUUGCCUCUUGUUUACAACCACUGUUCCUAUCUGCUUUAAAUCUGAUUGCAUUUAUGGAGG
rnacentral:misc_RNA from 1 species